CCUACGGGUGGCAGCAGUGGGGGAUAUUGCACAAUGGAGGAAACUCUGAUGCAGCGACGCCGCGUGAGGGAAGACGGUCUUCGGAUUGUAAACCUCUGUCUUUGGGGAAGAAAAUGACGGUACCCAAAGAGGAAGCUCCGGCUAACUACAUGCCAGCAGCCGCGGUAAUACGUAGGGAGCGAGCGUUGUCCGGAAUUACUGGGUGUAAAGGGUGCGUAGGCGGUCCGGAAAGUCAGCGGUAAAAGCCCGGGGCUCAACCCCGGCGAGCCGUUGAAACUGUCGGACUAGAGACGGCGAGAAGUACGCGGAAUGCGCGGUGUAGCGGUGAAAUGCAUAGAUAUCGCGCAGAACUCCGAUUGCGAAGGCAGCGUACCGGCGCCGGACUGACGCUGAGGCACGAAAGCGUGGGUAUCGAACAGGAUUAGAUACCCGAGUAGUC
rnacentral:rRNA from 1 species